AGCGGCAGGCCUAAUACAUGCAAGUCGAGGGGCAGCAUAUUCCGCUUGCGGAAUGAUGGCGACCGGCGAACGGGUGCGUAACGCGUAUGCAACCUACCCACUACUGGAGGAUAGCCCGGAGAAAUUCGGAUUAAUACUCCAUGGUACUAUAUGAUGGCAUCUGAGUAUAGUUAAAGAUUUAUUGGUAGUGGAUGGGCAUGCGUCUGAUUAGCUAGUUGGUGAGGUAAUGGCUCACCAAGGCGACGAUCAGUAGGGGGUCUGAGAGGAUGAUCCCCCACACUGGAACUGAGACACGGUCCAGACUCCUACGGGAGGCAGCAGUAGGGAAUAUUGGGCAAUGGGUGAGAGCCUGACCCAGCCAUGCCGCGUGCAGGAAGACGGCCCUCUGGGUUGUAAACUGCUUUUAUACAGGAACAAAAGGGUCCUGCGGGACAGAUUGCGUGUACUGUAUGAAUAAGCACCGGCUAACUCCGUGCCAGCAGCCGCGGUAAUACGGAGGGUGCAAGCGUUGUCCGGAUUUAUUGGGUUUAAAGGGUACGUAGGCGGACGG
rnacentral:rRNA from 1 species